rnacentral:rRNA from 1 species
AUGUGGAAGAGUGGCGAACGGGUGAGGAACACGUAACAAUCUGCCCCUCGGUCGGGGACAACUCUUGGAAACGAGAGCUAAUACCCGAUACGCUGUGGAGUGAAAGAAUUUCGCCGAGGGAUGAUCUUGCGUCUGAUUAGCUAGUUGGUGUGGUAAUGGCACACCAAGGCGACGAUCAGUACCUGGUCUGAGAGGAUGGACAGCCACAUUGGAACUGAGACACGGUCCAAACUCCUACGGGAGGCAGCAGUGGGGAAUUUUCCGCAAUGGACGCAAGUCUGACGGAGCGACGCUGCGUGAAGGAUGACGGCCCGCGGGUUGUAAACUUCUUUUCUCGAACAAGACACAAAUGACGGUAUUCGACGAAUAAGCAUCGGCUA